rnacentral:rRNA from 1 species
AUGUGGCCGGUCAGAGGGUUGAGGACGCGCGCUGCGUGAGGGGGCUCGAGGUCGGCGAGGACGAGUAAGCCGCAUGGAGUGGUGGUGAUGACAUCGUACUUCCGGAGCAGAGGAAGGUCCUUGCGCACCACGCGGGCGGUGACCAUGUUGACCAUCAGGCGCUCGUCGGUUUGGAAGACCUCGUCGACCAGGAUCCACCGGCGAGGGUGGAAGCGGACGUCGGAGGGAUUGCUCAUGGGGUCCUCGGCGGCGGAGCGCCAGCUGGUGCAGACGGCAGAAGUCCAUGUAGCAGUCCACGUCGUUGGUGGCGAGGAGGCAGUCGGCAAUGUGGCCGAGGAGCUCGGACGGGAGGGACGACCAGUCUGGCCCCAUGGCCGAAUCCGAACGGACGGCAGGUUUUGA